GACGAACGCUGGCGGCGUGCCUAAUACAUGCAAGUAGAACGCUGAAGGAGGAGCUUGCUCUUCUGGAUGAGUUGCGAACGGGUGAGUAACGCGUAGGUAACCUGCCUGGUAGCGGGGGAUAACUAUUGGAAACGAUAGCUAAUACCGCAUAAGAGUAGAUGUUGCAUGACAUUUACUUAAAAGGUGCAAUUGCAUCACUACCAGAUGGACCUGCGUUGUAUUAGCUAGUUGGUGGGGUAACGGCUUACCAAGGCGACGAUACAUAGCCGACCUGAGAGGGUGAUCGGCCACACUGGGACUGAGACACGGUCCAGACUCCUACGGGAGGCAGCAGUAGGGAAUCUUCGGCAAUGGACGGAAGUCUGACCGAGCAACGCCACGUGAGUGAAGAAGGUUUUCGGAUCGUAAAGCUCUGUUGUAAGAGAAGAACGAGUGUGAGAGUGGAAAGUUCACACUGUGACGGUAUCUUACCAGAAAGGGACGGCUAACUACGUG
rnacentral:rRNA from 1 species